rnacentral:rRNA from 1 species
AUUGAACGCUGGCGGCGUGCCUAACACAUGCAAGUCGAGCGGUAACAGGUGUAGCAAUACAUGCUGACGAGCGGCGAACGGGUGAGUAAUGCUUCGGAAUCUGCCCAUGUAGUGGGGAAUAACCAGCCGAAAGGUUGGCUAAUACCGCAUACGACCCUUGCCCACCAAGGACAAAGGUAGAAAGACAGGGGAGUCGCAAGACCUUGCGCUAUUGGAUGAGCCGAAGU